rnacentral:rRNA from 1 species
GAUGAACGCUGGCGGCGUGCUUAACACAUGCAAGUCGAACGGAAAGGCCAGUGCUUGCACUGGUACUCGAGUGGCGAACGGGUGAGUAACACGUGGGUGAUCUGCCCUGCACUUCGGGAUAAGCCUGGGAAACUGGGUCUAAUACCGGAUAGGACAAUGGUUUGGAUGCCGUUGUGGAAAGUUUUUUCGGUGUGGGAUGAGCUCGCGGCCUAUCAGCUUGUUGGUGGGGUAAUGGCCUACCAAGGCGUCGACGGGUAGCCGGCCUGAGAGGGUGUACGGCCACAUUGGGACUGAGAUACGGCCCAGACUCCUACGGGAGGCAGCAGUGGGGAAUAUUGCACAAUGGGCGCAAGCCUGAUGCAGCGACGCCGCGUGGGGGAUGACGGCCUUCGGGUUGUAAACUCCUUUCGCUAGGGACGAAGCGUAUUUGUGACGGUACCUGGAGAAGAAGCACCGGCUAACUACGUGC